rnacentral:lncRNA from 1 species
UCUUUUUUUUUUCUUUUUCUUUUUCUUUUUCUUUUUCUUUUUCUUUUUCUUUUUCUUUUCUUUCUUGAUCAUAUUUUUCUCUCAUUUUUCUUUGAUCUUCUCUCACCUCACUAGGAUUUAACGGUACAAGAUUGAUCUUUUGAUCAUGAUACAUAAAAGAGUACUUAUUGGAGUACCCAUCAUGAUUGGCUUUUCUAUCA